rnacentral:rRNA from 1 species
CUUGCUUCUCUUGAGAGCGGCGGACGGGUGAGUAAUGCCUAGGAAUCUGCCUGGUAGUGGGGGAUAACGUUCGGAAACGGACGCUAAUACCGCAUACGUCCUACGGGAGAAAGCAGGGGACCUUCGGGCCUUGCGCUAUCAGAUGAGCCUAGGUCGGAUUAGCUAGUUGGUGGGGUAAUGGCUCACCAAGGCGACGAUCCGUAACUGGUCUGAGAGGAUGAUCAGUCACACUGGAACUGAGACACGGUCCAGACUCCUACGGGAGGCAGCAGUGGGGAAUAUUGGACAAUGGGCGAAAGCCUGAUCCAGCCAUGCCGCGUGUGUGAAGAAGGUCUUCGGAUUGUAAAGCACUUUAAGUUGGGAGGAAGGGUUGUAGAUUAAUACUCUGCAAUUUUGACGUUACCGACAGAAUAAGCACCGGCUAACUCUGUGCCAGCAGCCGCGGUAAUACAGAGGGUGCAAGCGUUAAUCGGAAUUACUGGGCGUAAAGCGCGCGUAGGUGGUUUGUUAAGUUGGAUGUGAAAUCCCCGGGCUCAACCUGGGAACUGCAUUCAAAACUGACUGACUAGAGUAUGGUAGAGGGUGGUGGAAUUU